AGAGUUUGAUCAUGGCUCAGGAUGAACGCUGGCGGCGUGCUUAACACAUGCAAGUCGAACGGAGCUAUGACACGGAGUUUUCGGACGAAGUGCUGCAGCUUAGUGGCGGACGGGUGAGUAACACGUGAGCAACCUACCCCAAAGUCCGGGAUAACAGCGGGAAACCGCUGCUAAUACCGGAUGUCUUUACCUUGGGGCAUCUUGAGGUAAAGAAAGGCAACGCUUUGGGAUGGGCCCGCGUCCCAUUAGCUAGUUGGUGAGGUAAUGGCUCACCAAGGCGACGAUGGGUAGCCGGCCUGAGAGGGUGGACGGCCACACUGGGACUGAGACACGGCCCAGACUCCUACGGGAGGCAGCAGUAGGGAAUAUUGCGCAUGGACGGAAGUCUGACGCAGCGACGCCGCGUGAGCGAUGAAGGUCUUCGGAUCGUAAAGCUCUGUCCUUGGGGAAGAAGGCGAAAGCUUGACGGUACCCAAGAAGAAAGCCCCGGCUAACUACGUGCCAGCAGCCGCGGUAAUACGUAGGGGGCGAGCGUUGUCCGGAAUUACUGGGCGUAAAGGGUGCGUAGGCGGCCCUUUAAGUCGGAUGUGAAAGCCCGCGGCUUAACCGCGGAAUGGCAUUCGAAACUGGAGGGCUUGAGUGUCGGAGAGGGUAGUGGAAUUCCCAGUGUAGCGGUGAAAUGCGUAGAUAUUGGGAGGAACACCAGUGGCGAAGGCGACUACCUGGACGAUAACUGACGCUGAGGCACGAAAGCUAGGGGAGCAAACAGGAUUAGAUACCCUGGUAGUCCUAGCCGUAAACGAUGGGUACUAAGUGUGGGUGGUUUCGAUACCAUCCGUGCCGUAGUUAACGCAUUAAGUACCCCGCCUGGGGAGUAAUCCCGCGGCCAUGGCGGCCGGAGCA
rnacentral:rRNA from 1 species